ACCCUUAUUGAACUCGGAGUGCGAGUUGAGCCCAUCCUCACAACAUCAAACAAAAAGUAGAAGAAGAAACUCAACGAAUAGCUGGUGGAUUCUAGAACUUUCUGUAAAUGCAGCAGGUGCCAUUUUGUUUUAUCAAUGGACGGAGAUGGAUUACGAACUUGCAAGUCUUGGUGUGCUCUGUUCACUUUCAACCGAGGAACUCUUAACAAAAAUACAAGAGUGGGGCUUAGAUGUCACCGAAGCUGAAGCUCAGCGUUUCAGAGACAAUGAGGUUGAUGGUGACACAGUUGACUGCGGUCUUACUGAGACUAUGGUUGCAUACCUUUUCCAAGGAUCCUUCAAAAAGCAGGUUAAAUUCAACCAAUUUGUGUCAAGGAUGAAGGAAUCUUCAGUGACGCUGACUCUACAGACUGUCUCUCCAGAAGACUGGCAACUGUCUACUUCGUCAACUUCAAUAAGCAAUGAAAAUACUUUGAGACUGCCAGCCUCUUUUGAAAUUCCAAGAUUUCCCAAAAAUCUGCAACUAAAACUGGACAACAAAGAACCGUGCCAUAAAAAUCCAAGGGACAGACACACAAUAAUCAGAGUUCUAUAUGAAGCUGUGGCACAGUAUACUAUGUAUCCCACAAAUUCUGAAUAUGUGCAAGCUCUGAAGACGCUGGUAAUGAAGUAUCCUUUCCUCAAGGAUCGUGAGGGAAAUGGUUAUCACACAUGGCAUAUGUCUUUGAGACGUAAAUUCAAAUCAGAGCGGGCACCACUAGUCGACAGUGAGGCAGUGAGGCGUUGUAAGGAGAAGUUUGGUUCUACGAGGAGAGGGCAGCCUAAUAAAUGUCAACGAACAAGUCAGAGAAAUGUUUGUCAGGGACCAUGCGUCCAAGGAGAGGAUUUAUUAUCCAUAGACGCCCACUUAAAGGUCUUACAGUGCCAAUAUCAGAAGAUGCAACCAGAUACCAUGGUGGUUCAUAACCGUAUGCAGCAAACGUUUGCUUGGCGGCAAAAAGAAAUUGCAGAUGGUAUGCCUGUGGAGGAUGUGUUGAAGAAGUACCCCUUCUUAGGGAUGCCUACUGGUCUGUGCAACAAACUCGGGUGGAUCCAACCAACAACGGGUAAUGUAAGCCAGCGAUUUCGUGAAGGGCCCUCAUGUGUUGCAGCAAAGGUGAUUGACCUUACACGAGGGAAAACCCCACUCUACCAGCUCUACCUUGAUGCAAGAGAGGAGGCUCUCACUGAUGACCUACCAGAUCUUGACACAAGGGCUGCACUUUUAUUCCUGCCAUACGUCUUCAAGGAGAAACUGGAUCUCUUUGUCAUACUUGGAGAGGUGUCCAUCCAUCCAUCCUCAUCCUGGGCACAGACUUAUAAUGGGGAGCUGUAUGACUUCUCUAUGAGAGACACGUAG